CUCAACCUGGUGGUUAUCCCUAUCCACAUGGCGAUUUAGACUUUGUAUGGUGUUUUUGUCUAGUAUUUACAAUCACGUAAUAGUGUGAGAAUUUUUUUUUUUUGUCAAACCCAAAAGUGAGGGCUUUUAGUUAAAUCGGAGCCAGAAUUGGUAAGUUACAAACCGAUAUGAGAGCUGAUUUUGCUAGUUCAUCAGCUCCAUAAUUGUUUUUACGACUUACAAAGGAGAAGGAAAUUUCAUGAAAAGAAGGAGAUAAAACAAGGAUGUUGUGGAAAAUCUGGUAAAGCUCCCUCGUUGGAGUCUCCAAAACGAUGAUUUUGAUCAGCAAUUGUGAAUCUGAAGACAGAGAAAGUUUUUUGUAGCUUAGAUUUAGGGCUUGUUGUUUGACCAAGGAUACUGCAAUCGCUUCGGCCAAGAUUGGAGGGGCGACGUUUGGAGUCGUUGCUUUGUUAUGUACUAUCGAUGGUGAGGAAUGAUUGAUGAAGAUCCAUCCGAAGCCCGUCUCCUGAGAAUCCGCUCUCAAUGCCGCAUCUGUAAAGCAGAAGAUAGUAAUCAUUCCAUACGUUAACGGUUGGGAUUCUCUUGGAGAUUGAGGAAUUGGGGAUUGCUGUACUUGGGCUGUUAUCCAUUCUCGAUCACUGGUGAUAGCCUGGGAUAUUACAUCCGGAGGGAAGUGAUACGAUUAGGUAUAAUUGCGGUCUUGUACGGUGUUUGUUUUCAUACCUGGACAGCGAAGGGGCCAUGGAAUAGGAGAUGCAGGGUUGACUCCUCUUGGAGACAGUGUGGGCACACAGCGGUUGUGUUCACUCCCCGGAUCUUCAGGUUUUCAUCUACCGGAAGUGCUUCGUUUAAAACUUUCCAGAUGAAGAACUUAAUCUUUGGGAUGCAAUCGAGGUUCCACACUUCUUUGUACUAGUUAAACGUGGUUGAGACUACUCGUUGUGAUGGGAGAGAUUCUUCCUGAUGGGAUGCAGCCAUAUAGUCUGAUUUCGCCAUGUAGGUUCCUGAGUUGAUAUUUGUGAUAGGGAAAAAAGGCUACUCACUCGCAAGUCCUUUGCAGACUCUAGAGGUGGUCCCAUGGGAAUGAUUCUUUGCGAGAGAGAUAUCCAUGGUUCGUACCACACCAAAGUCUCGUUUCCAUCUCCGAUAGCCUUUCCUAGAUGGGGUUUCAGAAGGUCUCGACUAAUACAGAUGCCUCGCCAUCCAUGUGAAGCUGAGUUUGGUACUGAGCACUCUAGGAAGGAGGUUGUAAUGCAAUAUUUUCCUAGUAGUACUCUUGCAAGGAGACACUCUGGUCUAGUCAAAAUUCUCCAACUAACCUUUACGAGGAGGGCAUCAUUAAAGUUUGAGGAGUCCCACCAGAACCUCGUGAGUAUUGAUUGAAUUGUCUUAGACAGGGAUCCUGGGAUCUUAAAGCAGGACAUGGUAUAUGUUGGCAUAGCAGAGAACACCGAUUUCAGCAUUGUAGCUUUCCCAGCAAUAGGCAGUGGUCUUGAGGACCAGCUUAUUGAUCUUUGGCAGAUUCGAUCAGUGAUCAGGAUUUGCUGAGCUUUCUCCUUUACUGCUUAUGGAUUUUUUUUAAAGAAGCUCUCUUGGUCUGACCGGCAAAAAAGCAUCGUGUCAUCUGCGAAUAGGAGGUGGUUCACUCUUGGACUCCCUAAUGUCACUCUAAUGCCCGGUUGGAGUCGUCUUGCUAGGAGUUUGGAGAUUAUUUUAUAGAAGACGGAACAAAGAGCGAUAGAGGAAAAGAAAGCUUGGACCUUAGAGACUAUUUGUGAGCCAAUGGUAUCCCAGUGGGACUGGAAGAAGCUGGCAGAGAACCCAUCCGGGCCAGGGUUGGAGAGCCUAUUAGGUGAGGGAAUAGUGAUCCCCUUCCUGGGAUGUGAAUAGCCUUUGAAAGUAUUCAGUGAUUACAUUGAGGAUCUUUUCUUCUUCAUAGUGAGGCUUUCAACAGGGCAAGGUUUAUGUUGGAUAUACAUAUGGGGUCUGAAUCCUGGAGAUAAUAUCUCUGCGACAUCUGUUUAUCGUUUCCUAGAUAGUUUCGAAACAGUCUUGUGACCAUGAAGCUUGGAUCAGGGAGUGAAUGUCCUGAUUUCCUUUUAGUCUUCUGUCAUACCUGAAAAUCCUUUUUUUCUUCUUUUUUGACAGGUCGAGGCAGGUGAGUAGCGGUCGGUGGUCAGAUCCCUCGAACCGCAAGUAUUCACUAUGACUGAAGGGAUAAGCCUCUGCCCAUGCACUGCUUGACAUAGCACUGUCUAAUAUGCAGUGUAUUAUAUGGUCAUGUCUCUGUCCCCUCCAGGACAGAAAAUUGCCUGAAUGACGUAAGUCAUCAAGGUCGCACUCAGACAUGAAGCAGCGGAUGUCAAUGAAGGUGCCUUCAUGUCUCAAUGGGCCUCCUUGCUUCUCAGAUGAAUCAAUUAUGUCGUUGAAGUCACUCGUGAGGAACCAAGGGUCUUCCCGCGUGGAUCCCAAGAGGGUAGAUAGGAUUGUAAGCUCAACAUCGUUCUUCUAGUAUAAAGCCAGACCUCCGCCUCCUGAGCUAUGAGGAGGGACUAGUAGAUGUGAUGGAAGAUUCAUCCAGUGAUUCCCCAACCCACAACAAUUCCAGCUCAAAAGCUUUAAGGAAGAGGACUUGGUGGAUUGUGAAAAUCCACCUUCUUCUUUGCCAUGGCAGGUAUUAGGAUUGCUUUUGGGGUUCCCCCUUGAUGAGUAGCGUUGUUUUGGGGAUCCUUUGGUUUCGCAGCUCUGUGAGUGGUUGGACCUCCUGAGCAUGCAUUUCGCGAGGUGGAGUCACGCUGGAGGUCUGCCUCUACCCUCUUUGAUUUGUUUCCAGUUUCUUCAACUGGAAGGGGGUUAUGGUCACUCAACGAUGGGGUAUGUCAUAGGAUACAGGAGGUUCUAAGGAGAGUGGAGCUUGGGCAGGAGCUGAAGAGGUGGCUGCUUGAAUUAUUUUGUCUGCAGUGGUAGACAUUAGAUUUUUUGCUUCACCCUGGAUAACACGUUGUUUUCUAGCCGCACUCUCGGUAAGGUUCCUCUCCAGUGGCUCCAGAGUCUUAUCACAUAGUAUUAGUGAAAGUGGGAGAGGAGUAUUCGGGUCUUGAUUCACUGGUUCCCUCUCAAGAGGCGGACGACGAGGUCGGGAAGAUCUGAUCUUUCAUAGUGAGGUUCCGCAGAUGAGUGGGCUUUCUCCCUCAAUUGGAGAUUUUGUUUAGGACGUCCUGAGGAAUCCCUUCCUUGGUGAUUGCGUGGGUAGAGUUCCCGACUUAAAGAUCGUCCUUCGGAAGAAUGGGUUCUUUUAGAGCCCCUUCUGUUAACUUCAGAGUCUCGGCUCCUGUGGGGUUGAGAGAGAGUGGGUUGCAGUCCCGAAAAAUUCUUUCGCUCGUGAGUAAGCCGGAAGCAAAAGGAAUAGUGGUUCUUGAGAUUCUUGUACUCAAAGGUUACUAGGGCUUCACUGCCAUCCGGGAACUCCACGAUAGUGUCCUUUAAGAGAGGUUGGAGGCCAUCAACAUACACUUUUACUUUAGCAGACUCAUUGGUAAUUUCCAUUUCUUCAAGUUUUCCUAACUCUUCUCCAAUGGUUUGGAGCAUCUCCUCUUGCCAGUAGUGUUUGGGAAGACCUUGUAGUUCGAUCCAGAAGGGCAAUAAGGAAGGGUAAAUUUCGGAUAUAAUGGGUUCCCAUUUCUGGAGGAUGACCAUCCAUUGGUCAAAUUGGUAAGGCCGGUUAUCGAGAACUUUUUACAUGUCUUCCUCGAAGUUAAAUCUGAACUGGAAACAUCAUCGACCAAGAUCUGAUCUUGUUGCUUUGCCUUUGAGGUUCCAACGGUUUUCGAGAAAGGGGAAGAGAGACCAGAGUCUCUGAGCGGUUUGGGUUUGUCAGGCGAUCCAUGUAGGUGAGGGUAUUUGCUUCUAUCAAGGCGGAUGUGUCAAGUUCUGAAGCUCGGAUUCUUCUCCGAGGGGGGGGAGAAGCAAGUGUCAACUUCUUUACCCUUCAAAGCAUAUGAAAUUCUUUUCGACAUGAUAUGGGAUUUAGGAGUUUGGAGGAUGAUGGUGGUCACAAAACAGGGAAACAGGGUUUAGAGUAGGGGUUCCAAGGUUUCAUAGGGCUACAAAGUUUCCAGCAAGGUUACACAGUUUGAAGUAGGGUAGAGAAAUUUAGUAAGUAGAGGGAGAGGAAAAUAUACCGUAGAUAUGGUUUACUCUCGAAGAUGCCAAGAAAGAGAGGUGCAGCAUGGUAUAUUCCACAUGCUCUGGUGAAAAUUUAGUUCUGGUGAACGGCUGAUAUCUAGCGGUUAAAACCAUUAAGCGGAUAAGACCGUUGGAUAUUACUGUUUUUAGUAGAAAAGAGUAGGUGAAAUCCUCUUUUUAAGUUGACUUCCUCUUCGGGAGUACAUCGACAGAUGGGCCUGGAAGUUUUUUGGGCUUACGAAAUGUCAACAACGCAUCCAGGCUUUUUUAAUUUAUAAAUUUCAUAUCUAACUAUUUUAAAGGAUUAAUUUUGUUGUGCAAAUAAAUUUUGUAUUUUAAAGGCCUAAAGGGUUCUUCUUCUUGUAUUGGCCUAUCGAUCAUUUUAGAAGAUUUAUUUGGAACCACAUUUCAAAACUGUAGUGACUAA